CUAAAAGAGCUCAUAAGAGUGUUACACUUAGCAUAGAACUAGACAUAAUUAAGCGUUUCGAUCGUGGUGAACGAAGUAAGGACAAAGUGAGUUUGCUUGUGGAAGCUGAUGAAGAUGAUGUUGAAGAAGUUUUGGCAUCCCAUGACCAAGAACUGAUAGAUGAAGAGCUGAUGCAAUUGGAAGAGGAAAGGAUAACAAUCAAAACCAAAUGCAGUAGCGAACAGACUGAAAGUGAAGUCGUCCAGGAACUGAACGUGAAGCAACUGCGUGAGAUUUUCACUGCAAUUGACAACAAUGAUUGCAGAAAAGUACGACUUUAAUUUUGAAAGGGUUCAUAGGUUUAGGGCAUAUUUGCAGGAUGGUUUGAGUGCUUACAAAGAACUGUAUGAUAGAAAAAUGUGCGAGGCUAAGCAGUCAAGCAUACUGUCGUUUUUCAAGCCUUCCACAUCAGCCACAGCAGACAACGAACCUCAACCUUCGACAUCGAGGCAGGCAGACAUAGAAGAAGAUGACCUACCUGCCCUGAUGGAAACAGACAAUGAUGAGAUGACACCCCAGUGUCCCACCAUCCCGACCUCCGACGACUCAGCCUAACGCACCAUCAUCAGUGUGCUUGCUCUCUUCCCGAUUCUGAACGGCAAGUUGUCCUUGUGUUUGUGCUCAGAGAGUCGAGCUCUGGCUUUGAAAUCAUGAAACAUCUGUUGAAGGCUUAUGGAUCAGUCAUGAGCUGCAAGUCGUUUAUCUCCCAUUAUCCACUAUUGCAUCCCUUUCAGGACUUCUUUAGCUGUCAGCUGCUAUUUUAUGUGCAAGCAAAGAUGGCAAUGCUUCAGAAGAUUUCAACAGUGCUCCUGGAUUGGAAGAAGAAAAAUACAGUUCUUAAGAGAUAUGAACAUUAUAAACGACUAGAGCUCAAGCUUACUUUAAUUUUUCGUGAUGGAAUCUUAAAGUACAUCUGCUUUGUCAAAGCACAAUAUGACAGCAUUUAAAAGUAGCAAAAAGGGAUCACACGGAGAAGCAAACAAAGCAUCACAGCUCCAGAACGGUCCCAGGAAACACGGAGAAAAAUAAAGAUGGGUUUAUUCCAUGUCAACUGAAAUAAAUUGUCUUGAAUAUAAAGCAGAAAACACAUUUAAUGCUCAGCUCUGACAUCCUUUGACAAUGCACAGUUGAGGCAGCAAGAAACUAUUUGAACACUAGCUAACAUUUCAAAAUAUGAGCAGGAAAAUUAAGCAAUAUAUUUGCAAUAAGUUAUUUUUAAAAAUAAUAUAAUGGUAUUCUGAAUAAUCUUAACAUGUUCCAUAUAAUUUUCAAUGAAAAAAGAUCUAUACUUCUGAUAAUUCUAUUCCUUCAUUUUUGCAUUCUGAGUUUCUCUCAUAUUCACAUUCUCUUGGACAAUUCAUGAAACUAAUUGCUAUCUAUUAUAACUUUCACCCUUCUCUCCCCUGUCAUUCUUCCCUUAUUUCUGCACAUCUUUCUUUCCAUCUUUAUUGCCUUGCCUGUUUCUUUUCCUUUCAUCUAUUCUCUCCAUACAUUUCUCAUUCCUCUUGCUUAUUUCUGUCCUUUCAUUCCCUCUUUCUUGUUUUCAUUUCCCUUUAGCUCUCCAAUCCACUAUUUAAUCACUUCUCAGCUUCUAUAUUCUUUACUCUAAGAAGAUUGAAAAUAGGAGUAUUUACAGGUCCAUAUCGACCCUCAAGCUUGCAUUAUUAUUCCCGUAGAAUUUGAUUGAUCUGAUUUUAGCAUCUGCUUCAUUUUCCUGUCUCAUGCCAUAACCGUUUACUUGCAUAUACACUGUAGUUCAAUCUUCUAAUCUCAGCAUGAAUAUUUUCAACAAAUCCACCCCUGUCUGGGCUAGCAAGUUCCAAAAAAAUCAUGCUCCUCUGAGUCUAACAGAUAAAUCCUCCUCACCUCCCUCCUCAAGGAGGAAUCCCCCCAGUCCAGUUCUCAGCUCCCCCAUCAACAUCCUUUCCGCUUAGAGGGAUAUAAAGUGUUAGCUCGUGGUAAUGCAACAAUUGCAAGCAUCAAACGAUUACAGGCCAAGAAAAAUAAUGUUCAUAUUUCAGGCUUAUUGAAAAUUUUUAAGUAGUCUAACAAUGCACCAAGAACCAACAAAGUAUUACAGGGAGACUUUUCAAAAAGAUCUAAAGUCAGGAAGUGAGUACAAAAUAUGGUCCACACUGUGGCACGUUUGUAGUGCUAGUGAUAAAAGACAAAUUUUACUUCCAAGUUGAACACUUUGCAUGUAUACCCUCACACUGAUAUUGGGAUUGGAAUUAUUGCAGAACUUUUAUUGCAGUUUAUAUUACAGGAGAGUUCAAAGUAAAUUUAUUAUCAAAGUACAUAUAUGUCACCAUAUACAACCCUGAGAUUCAGUUCCUUAUGGGCAUACUCAUUAAAUCCAGUAGUCAUAAUAGAAUCAAUGGAAGAUCACACCAACGGGGUAGACAACCAUUGUGCAAAGAACAGCAAACUAUGUAAAUACAAAAAGAACGAAGAAAAACAAUAAUAAUAAAUAAAUAAUCAGUAAAUAUCGAGAACAUGAGAUGAAGAGUCCUUGAAAGUGAGUCAGUUGGUUGUGGGAACAAUUCAAUCAUGAGGCAAGUGAAAUUGAACAAUGUUAUACCCUCUGGUUCAGGAGCCUGGUGGUUGAAGGGUGACUGACAACUGUUCCUGAAGCUGGUUGUGUGAGUCUUGAGUCUUCUGUACCUUCUUCCUGAUGGUAGCAGCAAGAAGAAAGCAUGACCCGAGUGGUGGGGGCCCGAUAAUGGAUGCUGCUUUCCUGCGACAAUGCUCUGUGUAAACGUGCUCAAUGGUAGAGAAGUCUUUACCCGUGAAUAAAUGGACUGUAUCCACUACUUUCUGCUGGAAUUUUCAUACAAUACAUUCAUGUUUUCAUACCAGACCAUGACACAGCCAAUCAAUACACUCACCACCAAAUAUCUAAAGAAGUUUGUCAUAGUUCUAGACGUCAUGCCAAUUCUUUGCAAACUUCUAAGAAAGUAGAGGCACGGCCAUGCUUUCUUGGUAAUUGCACUUACUUGCUAAGCCCACGUCAAAACCUCUGAACUGAUGACACUGAAUACUGAACACUGAAUCUAUUUAAUACUGUUUUUCUAUUACUGUCUUGUUUUUAUCUACUGCUUUAUUUAAUUGCCUGAGAGGAAGCCAAACAGAGUUUCAUUGUACCUAUGUAUAAUGACAAUAAAGAUCAUUCAAUUCAACUUAAAGUUGCUGACUCAUUGCACCUCUAAUCCCCCGAUGAGGACUGGCUCAUACUCCACCA